ACGGGUGAGUAACACGUGGGUAAUCUGCCCUGCACUCUGGGAUAAGCCUUGGAAACGGGGUCUAAUACCGGAUAUCACCUCCUACCGCAUGGUGGGUGGUUGAAAGUUCUGGCGGUGCAGGAUGAACCCGCGGCCUAUCAGCUUGUUGGUGGGGUAAUGGCCUACCAAGGCGACGACGGGUAGCCGGCCUGAGAGGGUGACCGGCCACACUGGGACUGAGACACGGCCCAGACUCCUACGGGAGGCAGCAGUGGGGAAUAUUGCACAAUGGGCGAAAGCCUGAUGCAGCGACGCCGCGUGAGGGAUGACGGCCUUCGGGUUGUAAACCUCUUUCGCCAGGGACGAAGCGCAAGUGACGGUACCUGGAUAAGAAGCACCGGCUAACUACGUGCCAGCAGCCGCGGUAAUACGUAGGGUGCGAGCGUUGUCCGGAUUUAUUGGGCGUAAAGAGCUCGUAGGCGGUUUGUCGCGUCGGCCGUGAAAUCUCCACGCUUAACGUGGAGCGUGCGGUCGAUACGGGCAGACUUGAGUUCGGUAGGGGAGACUGGAAUUCCUGGUGUAGCGGUGAAAUGCGC
rnacentral:rRNA from 1 species